CUGGGCUUCAAAUCAGCCUCCUGUGGCAAAAAGCAAGGUGGAGAAGGGUGACCUGCAGAAUACUCAUGGAGGAGGUCUGCUUUGAGUUGUGGCUUGGAGAGAUGAAGAAAAUAAUAGAGCAAACAUUGACAUGGAACCUACUAUGUGCAGAUAUGGGGCCUUGCUGUAUUGCCCAGGCUGGUCUUGAACACCUGGGCUCAAGUGAUCCUCCUGCCUCAGGCUCCCAAAGUGCUGGGAUUACAGAUUCAUUGCUAUACUGACCUCUCAUUGACUGAAACUUUACAUCAAGGCUCAGGGACUGUAAACCCACCGCAGCUUGGAAUAUGGAAUAUGGAUGUUGAGAUACACACUUCAGUUCCUGAACUCAGUAAUGAAAUCGCCCCCAGAGUUCUCAUGCCAGCAUUCAGCUAGCUGCAACUUUCUCCUGCUUGCCUUCUAAGGAGAUUAAGAACGGGCAUUUUAUUUUGUUUCCGUUUUAGUUUAUUUGAAGGUUUUAUGAUGUCUUGGUUGAGUGGCUCGUGGGACUUGCAAAUAAACAUGCUGC
rnacentral:lncRNA from 1 species